rnacentral:rRNA from 1 species
GAUGAACGCUAGCGGCAGGCUUAAUACAUGCAAGUCAAGGGGGUAGCAAUACAACCGGCGCACGGGUGAGUAACGCGUACACAACAUACCAUAUACUGGGGUAUAGCCGUUGGGAAACUGAAGGUAAUCCCCCAUAACAUUGCGAGAGGGCAUCUGAUUGCAAUUAAAGUUUCGGCGGUAUAUGAUUGGUGUGCGUUUGAUUAGCUAGUUGGUAGGGUAACGGCCUACCAAGGCGACGAUCAAUAGCUGGCGUGAGAGCGCGACCAGCCACACUGGAACUGAGACACGGUCCAGACUCCUACGGGAGGCAGCAGUAGGGAAUAUUGGACAAUGGAGGAAACUCUGAUCCAACCAUGCCGCGUGAUAGAUGAAGGCCCUCUGGGUUGUAAAUAUCUUUUAUCUGGGAAGAAACAAUCUUAUUCUUAAGAUCUUGACGGUACCAGAGGAAUAAGCACCGGCUAACUCCGUG